UACGUAGGGUCCGAGCGUUGUCCGGAAUUACUGGGCGUAAAGAGCUCGUAGGUGGUUUGUCGCGUUGUUCGUGAAAACUCACAGCUCAACUGUGGGCGUGCGGGCGAUACGGGCAGACUGGAGUACUGCAGGGGAGACUGGAAUUCCUGGUGUAGCGGUGGAAUGCGCAGAGUAUCAGGAGGAACACCGGUGGCGAAGGCGGGUCUCUGGGCAGUAACUGACGCUGGAGACGGCGAAGGCGUGGGGAGCGAACGGG
rnacentral:rRNA from 1 species